GUGCGUGUCGGUUAUAUCGAAAAAAAAGGAAAGUGCGUGCGAGAGCAGACCGAGCGGCGCCGGCGCGCCUCACCAGGUCUGCCUACGAGGGCUCCUAGUCCUAGGCGUGAGCGGUGGAGCACCCACCGGUAGAUUGAAGUUGGAGCAGCGCCGACGCGCACCUGACCAGAUCGAGGCGGCGAGGGUUCCUGGUGGUGAGCGGCGGAGCACCCAUCGGUGGAUUGGGGACUCGAACGGCGGCUGCGCGCACCCUAACCAGAUCGAGGCGACGAGAGGCCCUGGGAGUUGGGGCGAGCAGCGGCGGGGAUCAUCGGAGCAGCUUCGCUCAGGAGUCCUGAUAAUUACUUUCCCCUGUUUUCUGAAGAAAAAAAAAAGGUUAUGGACUUCGAUAGGGCCAUGGCAAGGAGUGCAGCCUGCGAUCGGUUGGGAGCCUCCGUGUCGCGCUCCAGCGGAAACGUGUCUAGCGACACCAAAGCCGUCCUCUGCCUUGGGGCAGCCGCUGCUUUGGGCUGGGCAGCGUGGAGGUACUACCAACGUCAUGUGUGCCUCCAGAAGUUCGGCCGGGACAUGACGGCAUUGGCUGGAAAAGCUGAUCCGGUGAUUGGCCGCGAUGACGAGAUUGACCGCGUCAUCUCCAUCCUCUGCCGCCGGACCAAGAACUGCGUUGCGCUCGUCGGUGCUGCAGGGGUAGGCAAGACGGCAGUCGCCGAGGCCCUCGCCCAGCGCAUUGCCGCCGGGAUGGUCCCUGACGUUCUCGCCGGUGCGAGCGUCAUUGAGCUCGAUCUCGGGGAAUUGGUGGCUGGGACCAAGUACCGUGGCUCGUUCGAGAGACGCAUGAAGGACGUGAUAAAGCAGGUGGAGGCUUCGAACGGCAAGGUGAUUCUAUUCAUCGACGAGAUGCACAUGCUUCUUGGUGCAGGGCGGUCCAGGAGGAGUGCCAUGGGUGCUGCCAACAUGCUGAAGCCAGCGUUGGCCCGUGGGCGUAUUCGCUGCGUGGGUGCGACAACUUUCGAUGAGUACCGUAAGUAUGUCGAGAAGGAUGCCGCACUGGAGCGGCGGUUCCAAAAGGUGCAGGUCGAGGAGCCGAGCAUGCACACAACCAUUGAGAUUCUGCAGGGGCUAAAGAAAUGGCAUGAAAAGUACCAUGGCUUGGAAAUCCAGGAUGCAGCUCUUGUUGCUGCUGCACAGCUUGCUGGCCGCUAUAUCACUGGUCGUCAGUUUCCUGACAAGGCAAUUGAUCUGAUUGAUGAGGCAUGCGCCACUGCAAACAAAAAGAUGAGGCAGAUUAACCGCCAAAAGGAGGAAAUGAAGACUACAAAAAGUAGCUCUGCAAAUGCAAUGAAGGAAGCAAUUAUCACCCCAGAUCAUGUUGCACAAGUUGUGAGCCGAUGGACUGGAAUUCCCGUCACCGUGCUUAAUCAAGAGGAGAAGGAUAAGUUAAUCUGUCUAGCGGACAGACUGCAUGAGCGAGUUGUUGGCCAGGAUGAAGCCGUCAACCUAGUUGCAGAAGCAGUGUUACGCUCUAGAGCUGGCCUUGAUCAUCCUGGCCAACCCAUAGGCUCUUUCCUCUUCUUGGGCUCAACUGGUGUUGGAAAGACAGAGCUCGCAAAAGCUCUUGCCGAACAGCUAUUUGAUAGUGAGAAGAUGUUGGUUCGCUUUGACAUGUCUGAAUAUGUUGGGAGUAGUUCUGUGUUGCGUCUCGUUGGAGCACCUCCAAGCUAUCGUGGCUAUGAAGAUGGUGGACAACUGACCGAGAAAGUUAGGAGGAACCCGUACAGUGUCAUCCUUUUUGAUGAGGUGGAGAAAGCAGAUCCCUCGGUGUUCAAUAUUUUUCUUCAAAUCCUUGAUGAUGGCAGGUUGACUGAUGGCAGAGGCCAGACUGUAGAUUUCAAGAAUACCAUCAUCAUCAUGACCUCAAAUCUUGGAUCUGAUUACCUAAUAUCAAAGACGGCUAGAGAAAACACAACGGAAUCUACACGGGACCUUCUCAUGGAACAGGUUUGCAAGCACUUCAAGCCUGAGCUUCUCAACAGACUGAGUGAGAUCGUCAUAUUUGAGCCGCUUUCGCAUGACAAACUGAAGGAGAUAACGAAAAUCCAGAUGAAGAGCAUUAUGGCCAGAGUAGCUACCAAGGGCAUCUCUCUUUCUAUUAGUGAUGCCGCAUUGGACACUAUCUUAUCGGAAUCAUAUAGCCCAACCUACGGUGCAAGACCCAUAAGGAGGUGGAUGCAAAAGAAUGUGAUGACAACGCUUUCCAAGAUGUUGGUCAAAGGACAAGCCAGUGAAGGCUCAACAAUCUGCAUUGAAGCUACUGACGACAAGAAGGGGCUGGAGUAUGAAGUGGUGAAGAAGGAGGCGAGCCUACACUAACCUGGUCUAUCGAUAUUGGAGUUCACCUGCUACAGGCCGAAGCCGCCAAAUCCCGCCAACGCAACCCUAGACCCCUGCUCAUACACUGACUCGCUCGGAAGGCACGUGCGUGAGGGGAGAGGGCCACCAGUACCAGUGCCCGGCGCAACCAAUGUGAAAGGCAACCCUUCCAUCCCUUGCAUCAACUGUAAGACCCCCGUCUGAAAAAAGUUGUCUCAACAUUGAAUUGAAGACUACUUUUCUUCUUGUUGUUUUGAAACUUGCUGCUUGAGCGGGGUGCCACCGACGACAACGGCUGCCCAGUUUCCAGCCCUGCGACACCACCUGGCUCUGUUUCUUUGAAGAAUCGGCUGCGACUGUUGCUGGCCUCGCUCGCCGCGCUUCAUGCUGUGCUUGUGUUAUCGAGUGACAGUACGCUCUCGCCUGUGACAGUACGCUAUGUAUUGUGUGUACUGCGUAUGCCAGUUCACAAGACAAGAUUGACGUGAACAAAGCAAAUAACGGGAUUU